GUGCCAGCAGCCGCGGUAAUACGGAAGGUCCGGGCGUUAUCCGGAUUUAUUGGGUUUAAAGGGAGCGUAGGCUGGAGAUUAAGCGUGUUGUGAAAUGCCGCGGCUCAACCGUGGCACUGCAGCGCGAACUGGUUUCCUUGAGUGCGCUGAAAGUGGGCGGAAUUUGUGGUGUAGCGGUGAAGUGCUUAGAUAUCACGAAGAACUCCGAUUGCGAAGGCAGCUCACUGUAUCGCGACUGACGCUGAAGCUCGAAAGUGCGGGUAUCGAACAGGAUUAGAUACCCUGGUAGUCCGCACGGUAAACGAUGGAUGCCCGCUGUUCGGCCUUUGGGCUGAGUGGCCAAGCGAAAGCGUUAAGCAUCCCACCUGGGGAGUACGCCGGCAACGGUGAA
rnacentral:rRNA from 1 species